rnacentral:lncRNA from 1 species
UAAAAGUCACUUUUUGAAAAAUGACUUUUUUCACUUCGAUCACUUACGGACAACCAAACAUGCCGUAAGUAAAAUAGUAAAUCGAAAAAAUAUACCAAAUGAGAUGUUGAUACAUCCAAUCAACUAAGGUCGAAAUGAGACAGAUGUAAGGGCUUGUUUGGUUCAUUCAUUUUGGAUAUAGAAUGGUUUGAACAAAUCCGGUUAAUUUUGUUUGGUUCACAUGAAUCGGUUUGGGAUUCUGGUCUGGAUGGGAAUGGCCCAUUAGCCUUCAACUUGAUUCCGAUCUUCUAGCCCGGAUUGAGAUUUUAUUCUGGAAGCCCACUAAGUUCUCAAAGCCCAUGUGACCAUCCCACCCUCCUUCUCUUCACCCCUUUCUCAUCAAAAAAAAAAAACCUAUCCUCUCUCAAAACCCUAUCCCUAACCCACAUCAAUAAAAGUUUUUAAAAAUAAAUUUAAUUUUUUUU